AUGGGUUGCCGAGAUACUGCAGCACUAAAUGACCUUGAGCUCAUGCUACUAGAUGAAACGGCUGACCCAAAGGCCUUACCACUAUCACUUCUGAAAGACAUCACAAACGAUUUCUCUAACGAUCGACAAAUCGGUAGGGGUGGCUUUGCAUUGGUAUAUCAGGGAGUACUUGAGAGUGGUACAGUCGCUGUGAAGAGAUUGAGCGAUAUGUGUAUGGAUGAGAAGAAAUUCCAUGGAGAGGUUCAAUGUUUGAUGAAGGCAAGGCACAAAAACAUAGUACGGUUUUUGGGAUAUUGUGCUGACACACAAGGGAAUAUGUUGAGCUACAACGGAAAAUUAGUCAUGGCAGAUGUACGGCAAAGAUUGCUUUGCUUCGAAUACAUGUCCAAAGGGAGUCUACGUGAUUAUAUUAGUGAUGAGUCUUGCGGACUUGAAUGGAGAAAGCGCUACCAAAUUAUCAUCGGAAUUUGCCAAGGUUUAAAUUAUCUCCAUGAGAAUCGUAUUGUUCACUUAGAUCUGAAACCAGAAAAUGUACUCCUAGAUGACAAUAUGGUACCAAAGAUUACUGACUUUGGUCUCUCAAGGUAUUUUGAGGAAAGGCAAACUAGCCAAUCUAUUACUUCAAAUAUUUCUGGUACACUGGGAUAUAUUGCACCAGAACUCUACGAUGGGGAAAAAAUCACAAUCCAGUCAGAUAUAUAUAGUCUUGGUAUUAUAAUCAUAGAGAUACUAACAGGAAGGAAAGGGUGUCCCGACGUUGAAGUUGUACUUGAGAGAUGGUGUGAAAGGUUGGGAAAAUCACUAGAAGACACACAUGUGGAACAAGUACGAGUUUGCACUGAAAUAGGGAUAGAGUGCAGUGACUUCAAUCCAGCAAAGAGGCCUGUUAGUACACACAAGAUAAUCGAAAGGCUCAAGGAAACAGAAACUACAGAUGAGGUAUCCAGUGUCUUAUCCAGCACUGUACCCACCAAGCUAUUUGUCCAUCCGCAUCUCCUCUGCUUUCCCUGCGUACCGAACAAGCUGAUCCCAAGUUCGCUGAACCUUAGAAACUUCACAGAUGAACAUUUUGCAUUUAGGCUUGUGGAAUCCUAUGCAGAAGAAACUGAGCGACGCUUUGCCAAAUUGCCACUGUACGGAGUCGUGUCGCCGAGGUCAACACACACUCUUAGUUUGACACUCCAGGAACGGGACGAAAAAUCCAUUCAUUUGGUCCUAGAGAGCAGUACAUUUAAGGAUGCACAUAUGCCAAUGUACUGUAGCGAAUUUAGAGGGGACAAAUUUUUAGAAGAAACCAAAGAGAAAGGUAAUAUGGUGCAGCAAGUGAUAGUGAAAGCUGUUGCUACUACUGCACAGCGAGAGAUAACGUCUGAGCUAAUCCCAAAUAAAACGAAGAUAUUAUUCAAGAAGAGCCCAUUCACGUCUCUGGACUGCCAAGAUGUUAACCUAACCAAGCAAUGGAUAAUAACAGGCCAUACACGGGGAUAUGUUUGCAUUUGGGACGGUCAAACACAGAGGAAAGUAGAUUCGUUUAAAGUCUCCACCGACAAAGUUGUUUUGGUUAAAUUUAUCGUACGAAAACAAUGGUUUGUGGCUGGAGCCGAAGAUGGCUUUAUUCACAUCUACAAUUACGAAACUAAACGGCAGCAAGUCCCAAGUUUCACAGCUCAUGCUGGAAAAAUGACAUCACUGGCCGUUCAUCCAAGCAAACCGUACUUGAUGUCAUGGAGUUCUGAUGAAAUGAAGCUUUGGGAUUGGGACAAAGCCUGGGAGUGCACACAAACAUUCAAGUGCAAACACUUGGGUUAUAUUUGCCAAGUCAUGUUUGACCCAAAAAACACCAACAGUUUUGUCACUGCCUCAGCCAAUCACAUGAUAGAUGUUUGGGAUUUUGAUUCUCCUCAAUGUAAAUACACACUCUCUGGGCACUGGGACAGAGUUAACUGCCUUGAUUUCUUCACACAUGACAAUCAGCAGUAUUUGAUUACUGGCUCUAGUGAUUGUAGCGCGAAGAUAUGGGACAUGCACAGCAAUAUGUGUACUCAUACACUACACGCUUCCAUGUCUCCGGUUAUGUCUGUCAUGUUUCAUCCCAAUCUUCAGGUUCUAAUUACAGGUUUAGAAGAUGGCACUGUUUAUUUGUGGAGUUCAACUAAUUUCAGGCUUGAGAGGAUCAUUAACCCUCCUGUAAUUGAACCCCCUGCUUGGGGUUUUGGAUGGAUAUACAAUAUUUUUAGCAGCCCCGUAAGUGAACAUGUUUGGGGUCUCGCAUGUUCGAUGAAGUCAAAAGGGUUUGUGUUUGGAAGAGGAGAGACGGUAGCAAUGGUGGAUGUCGGCAAUGUAAAUAAUCAGGAAGAAUCAAGUCAUCACAGUGUACCACAGAUAAGAGCUGACAAAUCUACUCAGUUGAUCGACAACAGUGGGCUACUUGAAGUGCACCCGUCUGACCUCCGCUUCCCCUUGCAACCACACAAGUCAACCACGUGCUCACUGGACCUAACAAACCACACAUAUGAGCGCGUGGCAUUUAGGCUUGUACAGAAGAAUAAGAGCCACUCGUUCGGGGAAGAAGAAGAUUCACUUUUAUCAAAUGUGCCGAUUUAUGGAUUUAUAGCUUCCAGGUCCACGUACACUCUAGUCGUGACAACAAAAGAGUGGCCAGAUCAAGGAGAUGACACAAGCUUGGAUCUGCUUCUGCAGAGCAGUAUAUCGGGGGACAAGUUCAUCGUCCCAUUCGAAAACGAGACUGAGUGUGUUGAUCUAUUUGAGGAAUUAAAAGAGAUGGGGAAUGUGGUGCAUGAAUUGACACUGAAAGCUGUUUUUUAUGCACAAGAAGAGGUGACACGCGAGAUCAGAUCAGCCACGAAGAAAGUUGAUGCACUUGGAUUCGGCAAUAGGCUGGUGUGCCUAGAUGCACAUCCAACAGAGACAUGGAUCUUAACAUGCAAGUUUUUUGGAGAUGUUCACAUGUGGGAUCUUGUCUCUCAGGAAAAGAAGGCCCUCUAUUCUUUUCAUGUCUACCAGAAUGGAACAAGAGGGCUAUCAGCGACAGUUAGAUUCCUUAAAUUUAUCGCACGGAAGCAAUGGUUUCUGGCUGGUGCAGACGAUGGCUUCAUCCAUGUGUGCACCUACGGAACAGAGAUAGUACAACAGAUCACGAGUUUCAGAGCUGGUUCUUCCAGUGUCACAGCAAUGACCAUCCAUCCAACCCAGCCAUAUGUGCUGUCCUCAGCUUAUGAAAGCCCGAUUAGGCUUUGGAACUGGGAAGAGGGCUGGCAGUGCACACGAACUUUCGACGAUGAACGCUCUGGAACUGUCCGACAGAUCACCUUCAACCCAAAGGAUGCCAACUGUUUUGCUAGCGCGUCCGAAGAUCAGACAGUAAAGGUUUGGAACCUUGACUCCCCAAAAUCUAGCUACACUCUGUUUGGGCAUUUGGCUCAAGUGAACUGCCUUGAUUUCUUCGCACAUGCUGAUCAACAGUAUCUGAUUUCUGGCUCAGAUGACUUGACCGCCAGGAUAUGGGACCUAGAGAACAGGGUGUGUGUCUAUACAAUAAGAGCUCUCAUGGCUCCGGUUCUUUCAGUUCUAUGUCUUCUUCCUGAUCAUCCAUAUCUAACUAUAGGCUUAAAAGAUGGCACUCUUCAUUUGUUCAGCUCCGCUAAUUUUAGGCUUGUGAGGAUCAUUGACUUAGGCUGUAGCAAAGUUCGCAGUGUCAAUCUGAUGGGAUCAGUAAGGGUUGUGAUUGAACAAGAGGGGGCAGUGUCAAUCAUGGAUAUAGACCCUGAACAACAAGGUGGGAUUAUCAGUGAAGUGGGGGCUAACAUGGUUGAUGCAGUGAGAUUGGAUGUUGCUUCGGAAGCACAACUAGACAUCUUCCAAGAACACAAAGAGGAUUUGUCAAGCACAACUAGACAUCUUCCAAGAACACAAAGAGGAUUUGUCAGGUGCAGUGUCAGGGACAGGAAAUACGAAUUCCACACAGGCGUGAGGAAUGCAAUGGGAUAUAACAAUAGAUUAGUGCUUACAGAAUUUCGCCCACAGAGAAAAGAAAUUAGAAAGUGA
rnacentral:rRNA from 1 species